rnacentral:rRNA from 1 species
AAUGGGGGAAACCCUGAUGCAGCGAUGCCGCGUGAGUGAAGAAGGCCUUUGGGUUGUAAAGCUCUUUCGUCGGGGAAGAAAAUGACUGUACCCGAAUAAGAAGGUCCGGCUAACUUCGUGCCAGCAGCCGCGGUAAUACGAAGGGACCUAGCGUAGUUCGGAAUUACUGGGCUUAAAGAGUUCGUAGGUGGUUAAAAAAGUUGGUGGUGAAAUCCCAGAGCUUAACUCUGGAACUGCCAUCAAAACUUUUUAGCUAGAGUAUGAUAGAGGAAAGCAGAAUUUCUAGUGUAGAGGUGAAAUUCGUAGAUAUUAGAAAGAAUACCGAUUGCGAAGGCAGCUCUCUGGAUCAUUACUGACACUGAGGAACGAAAGCAUGGGUAGCGAAGAGGAUU